rnacentral:rRNA from 1 species
GUUGAACGCUGGCGGAAUGCUUUACACAUGCAAGUCGAGCGGCAGCACGGGGGCAACCCUGGUGGCGAGCGGCGAACGGGUGAGUAAUACAUCGGAACAUGCCCAGUCGUGGGGGAUAACACUUCGAAAGAAGUGCUAAUACCGCAUACGUCCUGAGGGAGAAAGCGGGGGAUCUUCGGACCUCGCGCGAUUGGAGUGGCCGAUAUCAGAUUAGCUAGUUGGUGGGGUAAAGGCCUACCAAGGCAACGAUCUGUAGCUGGUCUGAGAGGAUGAUCAGCCACACUGGGACUGAGACAGGGCCCAGACUCCUACGGGAGGCAGCAGUGGGGAAUUUUGGACAAUGGGGGCAACCCUGAUCCAGCCAUUCCGCGUGAGUGAAGAAGGCCUUCGGGUUGUAAAGCUCUUUCGGCAGGAACGAAACGGCGAGCUCUAACAUAGCUUGCUAAUGACGGUACCUGAAGAAGAAGCACCGGCUAACUCUGUGCCAGCCGCCGCCGUAACAC